rnacentral:rRNA from 1 species
UGAGGAAUAUUGCACGAAUGGGGGAAACCCUGAUGCAGCAACGCCGCGUGGAGGAUGACGCAUUUCGGUGUGUAAACUCCUUUUAUGAGUCAAGAAAAUGACGGUAGCUCAUGAAUAAGCACCGGCUAACUCCGUGCCAGCAGCCGCGGUAAUACGGAGGGUGCAAGCGUUACUCGGAAUCACUGGGCGUAAAGGACACGUAGGCGGGUUGGAAAGUCAGAUGUGAAAUCCUACAGCUUAACUGUAGAACUGCAUUUGAAACUUCCAACCUAGAGUAUGGGAGGGGGAGAUGGAAUUAGUGGUGUAGGGGUAAAAUCCGUAGAUAUCACUAGGAAUACCUAAAGCGAAGGCGAUCUCCUGGAACAUUACUGACGCUAAGGUGUGAAAGCGUGGGGAGCAAACG